rnacentral:rRNA from 1 species
UAGGGAAUCCUCGGCAAUGGGGGGAACCCUGACCGAGCAACGCCGCGUGAGUGAAGAAGGUUUUCGGAUCGUAAAGCUCUGUUGUUAAGGAAGAACGAGUGUGAGAAUGGAAAGUUCAUACUGUGACGGUACUUAACCAGAAAGGGACGGCUAACUACGUGCCAGCAGCCGCGGUAAUACGUAGGUCCCGAGCGUUGUCCGGAUUUAUUGGGCGUAAAGCGAGCGCAGGCGGUUAGAUAAGUCUGAAGUUAAAGGCAGUGGCUCAACCAUUGUAGGCUUUGGAAACUGUUUAACUUGAGUGCAGAAGGGGAGAGUGGAAUUCCAUGUGUAGCGGUGAAGUGCGUAGAUAUAUGGAGGAACACCGGUGGCGAAAGCGGCUCUCUGGUCUGUAACUGACGCUGAGGCUCGAAAGCGUGGGGAGCGAACAGG